AUUGACCGCUGGCGGCAGGCUUAACACAUGCAAGUCGAGCGAGCGGCGGACGGGUGAGUAAUGUCUGGGAAACUGCCUGAUGGAGGGGGAUAACUACUGGAAACGGUAGCUAAUACCGCAUACCAUCAGAUGUGCCCAGAUGGGAUUAGCUAGUAGGUGGGGUAAUGGCCCACCUAGGCGACGAUCCCUAGCUGGUCUGAGAGGAUGACCAGCCACACUGGGACUGAGACACGGGCCAGACUCCUACGGGAGGCAGCAGUGGGGAAGAUUGGACAAGGGGCGCAAGCCUGAUGCAGCAAUGCCGCGUGUGUGAAGAAGGCCUUCGGGUUGUAAAGCACUGUCAGCAGGGAGGCGUGACUCGCAGAAGAAGCACCGGCUAACUCCGUGCCAGCCGCCGCGGUAAUAC
rnacentral:rRNA from 1 species